GGACGAACGCUGGCGGCGUGCCUAACACGAUGCAAGUCGAACGGAGUUGAGGAGCUUGCUCCUUAACUAAGUGGCGGACGGGUGAGUAACGCGUGAGUAACCUGCCUCUGAGAGGGGAAUAACGUUCUGAAAAGGACGCUAAUACCGCAUAACACAUAUUUGCCGCAUGACAGAUAUGUCAAAGAUUUUAUCGCUCGGAGAUGGACUCGCGUCCGAUUAGUCAGUUGGUGAGGUAACGGCUCACCAAGACCGCGAUCGGUAGCCGGACUGAGAGGUUGAUCGGCCACAUUGGGACUGAGACACGGCCCAGACUCCUACGGGAGGCAGCAGUGGGGGAUAUUGCGCAAUGGGGGCAACCCUGAACCGCAGCAACGCCGCGUGAAGGAUGAAGGUUUUCGGAUUGUAAACUUCUUUUCUCAGGGACGAAGAAUGACGGUACCUGAGGAAUAAGCUCCGGCUAACUACGUGCCAGCCGCAGC
rnacentral:rRNA from 1 species